ACGUAUGUCGCAAGCGUUAUCCGGAUUUAUUGGGCGUAAAGCGCGUCUAGGCGGUUUGGUAAGUCUGAUGUGAAAAUGCGGGGCUCAACUCCGUAUUGCGUUGGAAACUGCCAAACUAGAGUACUGGAGAGGUAGGCGGAACUACAAGUGUAGAGGUGAAAUUCGUAGAUAUUUGUAGGAAUGCCGAUGGGGAAGCCAGCCUACUGGACAGAUACUGACGCUAAAGCGCGAAAGCGUGGGUAGCAAACAG
rnacentral:rRNA from 1 species